AGGGGUAGGAGUGCCCCGGCAUGUAGAGGGUUGAAGGAAAUGACUUCAAGGCAGAGUUCAUAGAGUUCUGAAAUCAAUAGUUAAAAGUAAAAACACUCAUUUUCAAGAACAAAGUAUAAUUGAAAUGUCCCCAGGGGUGAAUGAGGAGAAGCAAUUUCCUUAUCAAGCAACAGAUAUAAAAUAAAAUUCCAAAGUGAAAAAAAAAUCAAAUUUCAACUCUAAAUUCUUCUGCUGUAUAGAACAGUUCUUUGGGCAUUUAUGUUGGAAGUCUUUAUAGCUUGCCCUCUCCAUUAUAUUUCCCUUUUAGUGAUUUCUAUUUCAUCUCCAGCCAAAUUCUUAACCUUCUACACACUUUAGGAGAGAUCACUUGGAACCUGAUGGAUCUGUGUAGAAGAGAAGACAGAGAAAACCAGAGUUUCUUCAUGUUCCCAUGGUUCGUCUGGAAUUAUUAGGAGUGGAAAUCUUUCACCUUUGUGCUGUGACAAAAGCAAUCCUGCAUUAAUACAUUGGCUUCUGCAUACUCUUUGGUAAACAAGUGCUUCUGCCACGGAGACCAGUUUUCUAGUCUGAAGGUGAGGGAGCAGGCUUGUGUAACCCUAAGGAAGGCAAAUGUGGGGAUGAAGGAUGGGAGGCAGCCAGGUGAGACUCUGGCUUUGUCACUGACUAUCCCUUAGGGAAUGCCAAGUUCUCUCUUUGGGCCACAAUUCCCUAUGGCUGCAAAGUGAAGGGAUCCAAUGAGAUGACUCUAAACUUCUUUUAGCUCUGACAUGACUAUGUGCCAACUGCUCUCUGCCCCUCCCUCAACCCCUACUCCUCCACAGGAUGUUUAAAUGGUGGAAUCAGAUAUUAAUUUAUAUUAAUUCAGGAAGUCAGGCACCCAGAUUGGAGGGCAUGAGUGGAGUUGAACCUGAGUAAGGCCUGGGAACAUGUGCAUCCAACACAGGUGUCAAAUAGCUCAUGCACAAACCAUCUUUAGAUCUGCUGUAUCAAGAGGCCCAGAUGUUUGCCAGAGGAUCCAGGGCAGCAAAAGAACAAAAGUGAAGACUUUGGCACCCAUUGGCCAGUGAGCACCUGCCUGACGUGGUUCUGAUGGGGCACCUAUGGGUCUGCAGCCAGAGACUGGAUUGUUUCACUAGUCAAGGUGAUGCUGUGGGACCAUAAAAAAAAGAAACCUGGGACAUCACUGAAGUUUUCUAAAAAAGGUCAGCAGCCCUUGAGAUAAGUUAGUUUUUCACCAUUUAAAGAAGAAUAUUGUG
rnacentral:lncRNA from 12 species